rnacentral:rRNA from 1 species
AUACGGAGGGUGCAAGCGUUAUUGGGAAUCACUGGGCGUAAAGGACGCGUAGGCGGGUUGGCAAGUCAGAUGUGAAAUCCUACAGCUUAACUGUAGAACUGCAUUUGAAACUGCUAACCUAGAGUAUGGGAGGGGGAGAUGGAAUUAGUGGUGUAGGGGUAAAAUCCGUAGAUAUCACUAGGAAUACCAAAAGCGAAGGCAAUCUUCUGGAACACUACUGACGCUGAGGCGCGAAGGCGUGGGGAGCAAACAGGAUUAGAAACCCCAGUAGUCC